GGAAACACCACUCUGACUCACUUCGUGAUUACUUCUCCCCAUUUUAGGGGUAUAACAUUUGAAGGCACCGCUGGGAUAGCUCUUCAGAUGCCCAGUGUCCACAACAUGGCGGCUGAGUUCUGAGGCAGCGAUUCCCCUACAAAACAACCCAGGCAGGCAGGCUACAACGGAGAGGAUGCGGCAGUGAGGAGGGCUGAAAGCUGGUAUUUGAGCACACGCUACCUGAGGCCAAAGAGUGAUCAUCAGGGGAUCCUCCGCCUUCUGGCUAAGCUCGAGCUGAAACUACAGGGCCUUUGACAUGCCCCGGCCCUCCGUUCACCGGGUAGUGCACAGGGUGAGUGCGAAGAUCGCUGCGCUCCUGUACACAGUGGUCCGACAUCCUACAGCAGAGGAACUCCCACGCCUGGGUAUCCGCUUCGCCCGUCUUGCUGGAACAGCAGCCUUCAGCAGAGUGGUGGGGGCUAUUGAUGGCUGCCACGUCAGGGUGAAGCCCCCAGCAGAGGAUGCUGCCUGUUAUUUUAACAGGAAGCUGUUCCACUCCAUCCAGCUGCAGGCCAUCUGUGAUGACCAAUGCAAAUUCCUGGAUGUGUUUGUGGGGUACACAGGGUCAGUGCAUGAUGCCAGGGUCCUGAGGAACAGCCCCAUCUAUUACGAGCAGUCCUACCCUCCACCAGGCUACUGUAUCCUUGGGGAUGGUGGCUACCCCUGCCUGUCCCAAUCUGCCUUAUGACCCCUUUCAGGCAGCCUGUCCGCAACCACCUCCAAGCUCGCAACAACUGCUGCCUGUCAAAGGCGAGGUGCGUUGUGGAGAGGUCCUUCGGGAUCCCGAAGACGCGAUGGCAGGGUUUUUCCUGCAUAGAGAAAAUUUGGGCGCGCGCCUAAGCCGUUUUCCUGAGCGCCUACAACAAAUCCCGAGCGCCUAAGGCAAAAAAAAAAGUGCGAUAAAAAAUAAAUAAAAAAAAGCUGUCAUUCAUGGCGCAAUUCAGCUUAAUGGUGUUUUGAGCCCUCACCGUCGACUUCAAGGCAGCAGCUUGUCCCACCUCCCACCCCAAUCAUUGAAAAGAGGCUGCUCCAAGCUUGCCAGUUUAGAGAAUACUUGGUUUGAAUUUGAGAUUUGAGCAAGCAACUUAAUGUAGCUAGCUUUUAGCUGUUUUAAACCAAGGCACUUCAAAAAUGUUGUUUACAACCUGCUU
ensembl:lncRNA